rnacentral:tRNA from 1 species
AUAUUAGUAAUUUAAUAAAAAUAUUAAUUUUGUAAAUUAAAAAUGGGGGAAACUACCCUAAUAUA